rnacentral:siRNA from 1 species
UGCAGCCAUGUUUGGCAUUUGU